AACUUGAGUGGCGGACGGGUGAGUAACACGUGAGAAUUCGCCUUUAGGCGGGGAAUAACCAUCGGAAACAAUGGCUAAUGCCCCAUAUGCUCGUAAGAGUGAAAGGAGUAAUCCACCCAAAGAGAAGCUCGCGGCUGAUUAGCUAGUUGGUAAGGUAAUGGCUUACCAAGGCGACGAUCAGUAGCUGGUUUGAGAGAACGAUCAGCCACACUGGAACUGAGACACGGUCCAGACUCCUACGGGAGGCAGCAGUGGGGAAUUUUCCGCAAUGGGCGAAAGCCUGACGGAGCAAUACCGCGUGAGGGAUGAAGGCCUUUGGGUUGUAAACCUCUUUUAUCAAGGAGGAAGUUCUGACGUGUACUUGAUGAAUAAGCAUCGGCUAACUCCGUGCCAGCAGCCGCGGUAAGACGGAGGAUGCAAGUGUUAUCCGGAAUCACUGGGCGUAAAGCGUCUGUAGGUGGUUUAAAAAGUCCACUGUUAAAGAUUGAAGCUUAACUUCAAAAAUGCCGUGGAAACUUUUAAACUUGAGUAUGAUAGGGGUAGAGGGAAUUUCCAGUGGAGCGGUGAAAUGCGUAGAUAUUGGAAAGACCACCAAUGGCGAAGGCACUCUACUGGGCCAUU
rnacentral:rRNA from 1 species